rnacentral:rRNA from 2 species
UCCUACGGGAGGCAGCAGUGGGGAAUAUUGGACAAUGGGCGGAAGCCUGAUCCAGCAAUACCGCGUGUGUGAAGAAGGCCUUCGGGUUGUAAAGCACUUUUGUCAGGGAGAAUGGUAGUUGAGGUUAAUACCCUUAGCUAUUGAUGUUACCCGAAGAAUAAGCACCGGCUAACUCCGUGCCAGCAGCCGCGGUAAUA